UAUUUCUGUAGCUUAGUAAGAGCGCAACACUGAAGAUGUUGAGGCGGGUUAUUCCUGGAAAUAU
rnacentral:tRNA from 1 species